rnacentral:tRNA from 1 species
UACAUUUAUAGUAAAAUAAGAUUAUACUCGCCUUCCAUGUGAGAGUUCUAGAAAUAGUAAAUGUAG